GGCGGGACUUGGGAUGGCCCCGCCCCUCGGCGGUCCCGCCCUUGCGCAUGGGAGGAGGGCGCGGGGAGCCGGUGUCUUCUGCCGCGGUCGCAGGCUCGCGGUGUCCGGCAGCCCGAGGUCUCCGCUCGCUGUGGCUGCCACCAUGUAUCUCUGCAGGGCCGCCUCGCAGGUGCUGGCUGCUCGCCUGAGCCGGGCCCCCUCUGCUGCGAGCCGCCUCAAGCAGCGUGGUACGCGGGGGCCGCCUCGGAGCUCGACCCGGGGCCCGGCACCUCUUCGCCAGAUGGCAUCUGGGAGUGUUCCUGGCUCUUCUGGAGAGACCAUGAUUUACUAUCUCCUUGCUGGUGCUGCUGCUUUUGGUGGUUUAUUUUAUGCCUACAGAGUAGUCAGUUCAUCCCGCAGCAACUAUAUUGAACAUAUGAAUAUUCUUCAGGAGAGAGCUCAGUCACGGAAAGGCAGGGGUGACGAAGAAGAGAUGGCUGAAGUCACUGAAGGGAAGACAGCCACGGACGAGGCUGACGCAGUGGCUGCUGUGGGACCUGCAGCACAGGAUGAGAGUUCUGGGGUAUCCCCAGAAACUGGAGAGGAGACUGACUUACCGGCUCCAGAGGCAUCCCCUGCUGUGGAGGAAGCACAGCAGGAACCUGCUGCUAAUGUGGAAGUUGAUGCUAAUUCAGAAGCUGCUGCAGUGCAAGAAACUGUGAGUGAAGUCUUGGAUGUUACAGCUGCUUCUGCCCAAGAGGAAAACUCAGAUGCUGUCGAGGAAGGAGUAGCCUCAGCAGCUCAAGAGAUUUCUGACACACCCUCAGGGAACCAGGACAUUGAUGCUGAGGAGUCGGGGCGAACGUCAGAAGUUUCUGUGGAGGACAAGACACCUGAAGAAGUGGCUAAGGAACCCUAAAGGUACAUGGUACAGUUGCAGCAUGUGGUUUCCCACUCUCACCUUGCUGUUUUUCUUAGUUAGUGGCAAUUGCAGCGUCUGUGAACAGCGCUGAAUCCUUUGAAAAAGUUUAAUUGGAAAUAUUUGUGGCAAUCAACCAGCUGAUUCCUGUGUGAAACCUCAUACUCUUCCCUGGAGACAUGUGCAGUUUGUCAUAGCACAUCCUGCUCAUUAGGACCAGUAUUCAUCGCUGCAACAGACAACCUAAUACGAUUUAAGCUGGUUAGAGAGAUGCUUCUGUGACUAACAUCUCUGCUUUAGAAAGUAGCAUCCAGUAAUAAAUGUCAAAGCACCACCCAGCAUGUAAUAAAUACACAUGCUAAGAGAAGCAGUAGACUUAACAGAAACCAUGUCAGGUGAACUCAUUUUAGGUCUUUGUCUCAUUACAUACAAUGAUUUCUUACUUUUGGUCCAAACCAUGGUGCAUAAUUAUACCAUUGUAACAUUCCAUGCUAAAAUGUAAGUUAAAAGUUUUAAUGAAGUUAAAAUCUUAUAAAAAUUAUCAGCUAGUAUUUUUAAAUUCGGUCAUGGGGAAAAUAACAACUUUGUUUACUCAUUAGUUUUGGAUUUGUUGUUGUAAGCAUAGAACAUUUGGCUGUACAAGAUCUAGUUUUCCUCCUGUGUUAAGCAUUUUAGAUGCUGCCCUUCCUUGUGCAAUAAUAUCCAGGAGUAAACGUUUUUAAGGCUCCUGCUUUGGGAACAAAAACUGUUUGCGACUGGAAGCAAUAGGCAAUUUAGAGCAUGAAAAUGAAAAUAACACCGACAGAAGUUAUCAUCAUUGAUUGACGUGGUGGCUCUUAACUUGGGGGUGCUGGACCCUGUUCCUACCAAACCUCAUUCAGGUUCUUGUAGUCUUUCUGUGUUGUUCUGCCUUAGCAGUGACCCGCAGCGGCGAUGUGACAACACAAAGGUUUCCAAGAAUGCUCUUGUACAAAUCACAUGCAGUUUAUGCUACAGCAAAGCUCCUCUCUGAGAGCUUGCAGAUGUCCAGCAAAAUCCCUGUGGAAGGCUAUGCCACAGCUGUUCAAAUGGAUGAGGGUUCUUAGAGACUGAUAAAGAACAGAAUAGCUAAAUAAUCUUGUGUUGUUAAUAUCACCUUAAUAAUGAAAAAAAUCUAUAAUGAAUGGUGGGUUUGCAUGGCACUGUUCUCCUCACCCUCCAUUGUGCUAUGUGCAUGAGUGUGCAUCUGCUGCAACAUUUUUACUGAGACCCCCACCAGCAAAAAAGCAAUACAGCCAUCACACAAUGGUGAUAAUUCUAAACCAGGGCCAAACAAGGUAUAUUGUACACAAUUUAUAUCGAAAGUGUGAAUUAUAAGGUAUAUCUGACUGCUUCCUCUUCAAGCAGAACUUUGGAAAAAUGUUGAAAGGGAAAUCACAGCACUAUGACAUUCCUACCCAUGGCACAAAGCAACACAUGCUCCUUCCCCUAUCGUAAAGCAAAUCAUAAUAGUGUUCUAAUAAAAAUACAGCUUAUUGACCCUGUACCUGCUUAGGAAUAACUGGAAUAAUGCAGAGGCAAAAUCAAGCUAAGCUUCAAGAAGCCAUACCACAGCCUUCUGUUUAAAAGAUAAAGCCACUGUGAUUAAAAGCAAUUUUUGUUGACAAAGCUACUGGAAUAAAAGUCUUAGACUGCUA